CUACUGAUGAGUCAUGGAACCCCGUCCAUACUCCUGCUGAUAGUGAGGUACGGGCCCAGCCCACCCUCACUCCUUCCCUAACUUGGGCCUCGCCCCUGAUCUGCUGCUACUGAGAUGUGGAACACCAUCCACACUCUGCUAUUGGUGAGAUACGGGACCUCGCCCACACUCACCUCCCUACCAGGCACAUACAAGUAUCACACAGACAACAAGUAUAAACUAUCACAUAAACCAUUCCUUGGGCACCCGCCCUCUAUCAUUGGACCUCGUCCCGAAUAUCAUACUAGCAUACUGUGCCUAGGGCUAACCCCCGGGUCUUCUACUCAUAACUACAUGGGCCGGCAUUGUGGCCGUAGACCCAUUCAUACAAAGGGAAACUCACCUGCACUGGCUGAACUGGCUGAUGAACCCACUAGCUGCUGCCCGGCAACUCUCUGAACUCCUGCUCCACUCGCUCCCCGAGCUACCAAUAUCAAUGCAACACUGAGUCUAACUGACCCCCGAAAGACAACCAAGUCAACUCUGGUCAAAGUCAAAGUCCUGGUCAAAGUCAACCUCCCAGGUCAACCCUACUCGCCGAGUCACCCUAUUGACUCGCCGAGUUCAUAUGUUCAGAGUCCUUCUAUUCGCGACUCGACUCGCCGAGUCAGUCCAUGACUCGCCGAGUCUACCGAUUACCGAGUCCUGACCUGUCCAACUCACCGAGUCUCCAUUCGACUCACUGAUUCGAGUCUCAACUCGAAGGGUUUGGGGUUUCGCGACAUGACUCGCCGAGUCCAAGACAACCUUCAAUAGACUCGCCGAGUUGUUCAUCCAACUCGCCGAGUUCCUACCCAACUUCAUCCGACUCGACGAGCUGUUCAUCCCACUCGUCGAGUUUCUCCAAAUCUUCAUGAUGCUGGCCAAGUCCAAUCAAAGGACUCGCCAAGUCCAUUCAGAUCUCGAAACAUGCAGAGGACUUUUGAGUCAUGCAGGGACUCCAAACCAUAGAUCCAUACUUCCAAAGCUCAAUCCCCACGUAAAGUUGCAAACUUUAUGUAUAACUAAAGAGAUCUAGGCUCAAAACAUACUAGGGUUUGGUUUAAGGACAAAAGGGCUUCACCAACUACUCAUCUUCUGAUGCUUUAUGACAUAUUGGACCAUCCCAACACUAGAUCUGAAGUGGCAACAACAUAUCUAAGCCCCUAACUCGAAUUGGGUCUCAAUCAACCAUAAAACCCCCAAAUAUCAUAAAAAAAAUACAUCUAGAUGCAAAGAAGGGAAAAUGGCAGCUUAAUACCUCCAAGAUGAACACAAACUGAAGUAGAUCUCGGAUAUACACCUCUCCUUUGAAGCAACCUUCUUGAUCUUCAAGUUCCUUUCCAAAAUUUCCUUCCUCCAAAGCUAUUUCUCUCAAAUGAUGGAACCUCACACGAAAUAUAGGGUUUACAGGUUCUCUAGGAUGAUACGGAGGCUGAGGGUGGGACAUAACACCCUUUAUAUAGGAUACAACUCCCGGAAUUAGGGUUUUCCUCGAACAGACCACACUCGCCGAGUCGCCUUGGCCGACUCGCCGAGUCGGUUGCUUACUCCUCGACCCGGAUCCCGCUCGGACUCGCCGAGUUCCUCCUUGGACUUGCCGAUUUGCCCCUAAAAAUUAGGGUUUUCUUUCCUUUCUUGGCCUUCCAGAUUUUGGGUGUUACAACUCUCCCCCACUUAAACUAAACUUCGUCCUCGAAGUUUGCCAUGGUCCACCGCCUGCGAUCUGCUUCCAAAACCCACCGAUUAUCCCAACACCAGCUGCCUACCUUCGCUGGUCUUCCACCUGGUCAUUCUGACUAACAUAAACCUCGCGGAUAAAACCCCAGGUCCAACCUGACCCUAAACAACUUAGAAACACAACUUACUCAACUGAAAAUCCUUCUUGUAUUCUCCAAGUACUGCACUUGAACUCAUAGGGGUUGACCCCUUCUUUCUUUACGCGAUUCCCUCGGCUUCCUAAGGCGAUGCUCCAUAUCCAACUAUUUCAUCUGUCACUGUGAAGGUCAUAUCCUUCACUAACUCCAUCACCCCCAGUAUUUCCAGUACGGGUCAUCCCCGUCAGUAACCGCUGACACUCUUUUCUCUGUCAUAACUUGGUGCCGAGCACCCCUCGAUUCAAUUAACUGAAUUCCACCAUACACUGCUUACCCGCAGUACUACUGACUGAAAAUUCUGCUAUUCCUUGUCUGCCUUCCGUAUGAACUGAGACCACCCUGGUCCCUACCAACCUAUCAAUGUCUGGAUUACCGGCUCCCACUGGUAGCUAGUCCCAACACCACUACUAGUCGCUCCCAAUGACUUCCGAAGAAACUUCGACCACCUAUAACUGCUCAAUCUAUUCUGCCAUUCAGGCACUACAAUCCUGGGAUCCCCGAUCCCCUAACUUGACACUAAGGUCCCUACCAGGUCCCACCUGUGCUGCUAAAACUCACGGGCCUCGCCCACGGGUCCCACCCGCCUCUAUCCUUCUAUUCCCACUAGUCUAAUCACUCUCGCUCGGGCCUCGCCCACGGGUCUCACCCAACCAUACUACUGAGCAACCCUGCUCCCAGGUCUCAUCUACACUGCUAAUCUCAUACGGGCCUCGCCCACGGGUCUCACCCAACUAUAUCCUGGAGCGGCCUCUCCCAAGGUCUCACCUCUCUAGGGCUAUACAGGCAAACUCCCUAUCAUUCUCAUCCACUACCCAUUCCUAAUCCCUAUCUGAUCACUAGGAGAUAAGGGCCUCGCCCCAACUCCGCUAACGAAGCUACUAAGGAAUGCUACGGCUUACCCAUAGUCUUACAUCGCCAUCCAUUGCUGACUGCUAGUGAAUGCUACGGCUGCCCCGUAGUCUUACAUCACUUUCUACCACUGACUGCUACUACGAGGGCACCCAUGUGCCAUUAGCGCUCAAGAUCCUCAUUCCGACUCCCUCGAGUCCUACGGGCGAUCCACAAACUGAAUUCUCAACCACGUACUAACCAUUACCAUCACACGCACUAGCAUAUGGGGAGUUUCUCAAACUCCCAACCCUAAAAUCCUCGAUCCAUCAAGCGCCGAACCACUUCUUUUCCUUCUCAGAGGUUGCGCACUCAUUCUGGGUCUGCAUGCUCCUACCUUUGCACACUCGGAGGAUUCUCCCCCACAUCGAUCCUGCUUACCCCUUGUUGCUCAAUACUUGAAAUAAAUCCUUGCUACCAUUCCAUAAUCGAUCUGCUGAGGAACUCAAGCUUACCAUAGCUAGGGAUCUAACCAAUCCAUUUCUAACACUAUACAACUCCGAUCUAGCGAGACAUACCAAGUCCCUCCCAAGCAUGCUACAGUUACUGCAUCCUAUGUAACCUUCUCCAAUAGGGCACAUCCCCUCACUACCAUUCGAAUAUCCAAGGUAUGCAGAUGGCAUAUAACUCGAUCACAAUCAAUCGCUCAAAAAUAAAUACUCAUACCGAUAAUGAUGCAGAACCAUCACAAUAUAAUCAUGCACAAAUAAAAUAACUGAAAACAGAAAUCGCAUACCUGCAACGUCCGGUGCUGAUCGCGCCUCUAAGGUAGUCAUCUGAAGAGCUCUGCCUCCUACCGCAGGCGCCUCUGCACGGCCCUGACAGCCAUCUGUGAUCCUCAAAGUUGUAGGGGAAGGUGCCAUCACCCGUCCUGCUGAGAACAAACUGGGGCACUGGGCCUUCUUGUGGCCCCGCUGGUUGCAGUGAAAACAUAACAGGUCUGAUCCUUGUGAGGUGGUAACAGUACAAUCCCUGCUGAAAUGACCAGUCCGACCGCACUUGAAACAGCCAGACUCACCACCGCUACCACUCCUGCACGCACCCCCGUGCGCCCUGCCAUACUUCCCGCACCGACUGUGAUCCUGAUAAUCCCUCGAUCUCGAAUCUAAUCCCUUGUGCCUUUUGCCCGAACCUGCAGCUACCUGAACCUCAUCCGGCUUCCUCUUCCUGAUCUGCUCCAACUCGAUUUCCCUCUCUCUAGCCCGAGAGAUCAUAUCUUCCAGCGUCUUACAGCUGGAUCUGCUCACGAACUCCCUGAUGUCAUCCCUCAACAUCUCAUGGUAUCGGGCCUUCUUCAUCUCCUCAUCCGCGACAUACUGCGGUACAAGAAGAGCCCUCUCCCUGAACUUGGCGGUGAUCUCCGCCACAGUCUCAGUGGUCUGCGUCAAAUCCUGAAACUCUCGUGCCAACUGCUGCACCUCAAUAAUCGGCGAAAACUCCGCCCUGAACCUGGCCGAGAAAUCGCUCCAAGUCAUCGCGUCCAACGCGGCAUCAUCCCCCAAAGCAUGACCAAUCUCCUCCCACCAAUCCCUCGCUCUGUCCUUCAGAAGACAGGAAGCGAGUCUAACCUUGUCCCCCUCGGGACACUUGCUCGUACGAAAAGCGUUGGCAACAUCAGCCAACCAUCUGCUGCUAGCAAUGGGGUCCCUAGCCCCAUGAUAAUCUGGUGCCCCGCAGGCUCUGAACUCUCGAAAUGUCAAGGUACGCACUCCCAUCAAUGCCAUCAUCUCAGUACGGAAGGCUCCCAGCCUCUCAUCCAAAAUCUCCAAUAUACCCUCCUUGACUGUGCCAAAGAUCACAGGAGUCCGAUCCAGAAUACUGCGCGUAACCUCGGCGGAUAUCAACUCCCUCAUUCACUCCUCGAGCUGCUCGGCCCCUGAACCCGAGCCUGAUCCCUCUCCGGCGCCUGAUCCGCCCGCUGGUCUCUCUCGCAACGUCACCAUGCUGAAACAUAUAACACAACCUCUAUCAGAAAACUCAUCACUGCUGCGAGACCAAACACACCUCCUACUAGGUUCCCGGUCUUAUCUCGGCCUUUCCCGAAUCAAGUACGGAUCCUCUGCUUUCAGUAGUACGGGCCCAUACUACCUUCCACAUCUAUUCGUACUUUCCUCAGGAAUUGCUUUGACUCCACCAGGUCCCUUAUCCACUACUACUGCUCCCAGCACUAUCUCAUCCUAGGCUUACCCUAGGAAAACCUCUGACUCAACUCAAACCAGUCCUCAGCUGCUGAAGGUCUCCUUGUGAUGCCAAUUAGCCAUCACCUGGAUACCAUCACAUGUGACGAGGCUCAGAUAAUCCUUCAAGUAAAAGACUCGUCCCUACAACGGUUGGACUCAAACAAGAGCUGCGCAAUAGGACCAAAUCCAGCACUCUGAGAUUAUUCAACCCUGAUCACACGUGACGUGUCGUAUCCACCUAAUGGCCAAGUCCCAUCACUCAGAAUCCCACAAUGCACAAAGAAAGCAGCAUUCGAACAAGGGGAAAAUCUAACCAUAACAUACUCAAGCAAUCAUAUCCACAUAGCAAGAAACUGAACUAGCAUGUAACACAAACUCAUAAACUCAGGCAUAACCUAGACAGACUAUCCCACCACUGUCUAAUCAGCACUAUCAUGCAGCUCAAAACAUAUAUAAUAGGCAUAUAAGGCAUCAUCCCUAGAUCCUUAGUCCUAAUCUAGCAUACUGUUCUAUCAACUGAUAAUCAAAUCAUAAACUUGUAUGGGUAUUUUGGGGUACUUACUUGAGCUCGGCUGAUUGCAUGCACCACACCUCUUUUCUCUUUUCAAAGUUCUUUUCUUUCUGAAUUACUUUUGCUUUUCUAAAACUGUUUUCUUUCCCAAAACCCUCUUUUACAAAACUGUCUUUUCACUUUGAAAACUUCUAUCCCAAUUCCUCGGUUUGAGUUCAGACACACCCGAGAGUUUGUCCGAAUCCCUCAAACCAAGGCUCUGAUACCAACUUGUAACGUCCCAAAAUUCAAGACUAAAAAUUUCUUUUAAUAAAACUUUACUUUAAGCAUAUUCCUCAUUUCAAAACAUAAACAGAGUAUUAGUUUCCAAAAUACAUGUUCGUUAUCAAAGUAAACAUUCCCAGGCUGUCCUAAACUAUGGUGUGUGCAAUGCGAUCACCCCGAGCUCUUCCCUCCGCUACCGGAAGUACCUGAAACCAAAACUCAAAACCGUAAGCACGAAGCUUAGUGAGUUCCCCACCCUACUACAUACCAUGCAUAACCACAUAUUGCACAUACUGGGCCUCGCCCCCUACCUUAGGCCUCGCCCGCUACAACGUCCCCGCCGCUCCAGGCCCCGCCUGGCUUCGAGCCACGCUCGGAUACAAAUCUGUUUCACUUAGGCCUAGCCUGUAACAGGGCCUCGCCCAUUAACAUAUAAUAGCACGUACGCAUAUCACAUCACAUCACAUAAUCUAAACACAUACUAACAGAUCCUCUCCUAAGGCCUCGCCUAUUUCUGGGCCCUGCCCUUGUCAUGCUACUGAUGAGUUAUGGAACCUCGUCCAUACUCCUGCUGAUAGUGAGGUACGGGCCCAGCCCACCCUCACUCCUUCCCUAACUUGGGCCUCGCCCAUGCUCUGCUGCUACUGAGAUGUGGAACACCAUCCACACUCUGCUAUUGGUGAGAUACGGGACCUCGCCCACACUCACCUCCCUACCAGGCACAUACAAGUAUCACACAGAC
rnacentral:lncRNA from 1 species